rnacentral:rRNA from 1 species
GGUGUAGGCGGCUUGGCAAGUCGGGUGUGAAAUCCCAGGGCUCAACCCUGGACGUGCACUCGAAACUGCCGAGCUCGAGUCCUGGAGAGGAAGGUGGAAUGCUUGGUGUAGAGGUGAAAUUCGUAGAUAUCAAGCGGAACACUGGUGGCGAAGGCGGCCUUCUGGACAGUGACUGACGCUGAGACCCGAAAGCGUGGGAGCAAACA